rnacentral:lncRNA from 1 species
GUGACUUGUGCUGAGGUGGGACCUGUCAGCACGGGGUGAGUCCUGAGCUGGGGAGCAGGGAGGGCACUGCAGCCGUGGCUUAAAUUCAAGGGCUGGGGGCCCUUCCUGGGGCACCAGGCAGCUCUCAUCCGGUGGGAUUCUCAUCAGCAGACCACACAGGAGGGUGGGCCUUCCCGUGCUCUUUCCCUCUGGCUGCCACACUGGAUUCAGCUCUGGGGAAGCUCUCAGUCCUACUUCCUGAGGUGGACUGAGUUCUGUAAAUUGGCUUCUCCCGCUGCUGGGGAGAGGUAGGGAGGACAAAAUUUUGUUCUCCUUGAAUGCCUUUGAGCACAUUCUUCAACUCAGUUUUACAAGCUGUGGAAGCGAGGGAAAGAGGGGGCUGAUGUGGGCCACAGUGAGCAGCUGGGAGGUGACCCUCCCGGAGAGAGAACAGAAAGUCGCUGGGAACUGCACUUCCCCAGAGUCGCCCCCUGACGCUGCCGUCCGUGUCUGCUCAGCCCCUACCAGCCAGCAGUGGGCGCUGUUGCUGUGCACUGGGCACCCCAAGCCCCAGGGCCCCUUGGCAGAAGGCAGUGGGGCUGCUCGGCCAGAGGUCACCACCGCUGUCCACAGCUCGACCGAGCCCGGCUGGGACAUGCCUCCGGCUCAUCGUCACUCUGCCUCCCCAUUUCUCUGAUCUGCUGAAAGACGUGUUCAAGGUUGUUGACCUCAUGAAUUGGAAAACCAGAAGCGGGGGGAAACCCUCUGGGCCCCAGGCAAGAGGCUCCAGAACACAGGGCAUGCAGCUCCACAUCCUGAGGCUCAGUCUUUGCCUAAGGAUGGACACGGCUGCACCUGAGGGCCACCGACAGGACCCUGCUAAGGCUGCCAGUUGCCGCUACCCCUCCGACUCCAGCCCCUGAGACCUCCUCUAGACACUGUUACUCCUCUGCAUUCGAGGCCAUGCCUGCUGCCACCGGCCACUGCAGACCCUGUCGCUGCAGGUCCCGGUCAAAUUUGCGGGCACUGCUGGGCCGCUGAACGUGGCCGCACCUCUAAGUCUUGGGCUGCAACCGAAGUGACUGCAUUUCCUGUGCCUCUGAGCUCCUAGCAGCUGAGGCGACAGCCAGAUGCGCCAGGGCUGCUGAUCCCCAUCCCGCAGGGACGUGGACACACUGCCAGGAGCAAACUGGAGCUGUGGCUGCUGCAGGUGGAUAUCCCUGUGCUUACAAAAAAUGGACUUUUUCCAAGGCUGCCAGGGGCUGCUGGCGCCCUGACCAAGGCUGCUGAUGGGCCCCCAUCCUUCUCAACGUGACGUAUCGAUGUCGAUGUUGACCUUGAUCUCCUGACUGAGGUCGUGUUUGACCUGGAAUUAGCCAGUCUUCCAAGGAGCCCUGGUUCUUGGUAGUUGGAGAACAC